CCCACUGCCAUCAUGCCACAG
rnacentral:misc_RNA from 1 species